UACGAAGGGGGCUAGCGUUGUUCGGAAUUACUGGGCGUAAAGCGCGUGUAGGCGGUCUUCUAAGUCUGAUGUGAAAGCCCUGGGCUCAACCCAGGAAGUGCAUUGGAUACUGGACGACUUGAAUACGGGAGAGGGUAGUGGAAUUCCUAGUGUAGGAGUGAAAUCCGUAGAUAUUAGGAGGAACACCAGUGGCGAAGGCGGCCAACUGGUCCGGUACUGACGCUGAGGUGCGAAAGCGUGGGGAGCGAACAGG
rnacentral:rRNA from 1 species